rnacentral:rRNA from 1 species
AGGACGAACGCUGGCGGCGUGGAUUAGGCAUGCAAGUCGAACGACGGUAAGGGCUUGCCCUUAUACGGAGUGGCGAACGGGUGAGUAACACGUGAACAAUCUGUCCUUACGUUCCGAAUAAUUGACCGAAAGGUCUUGUAAUGCGGGCGAGGAUGGCGGGGGGGCAUCCCCUUGUCAGGGAACGCGCAAGUGGCGCAAGGAGGAGUUCGCGGCCUAUCAGGUAGUAGGUGGGGUAAUGGCCUACCUAGCCGACGACGGGUAGC